rnacentral:lncRNA from 1 species
GAAAACUCUGCAAACCACUAUGAGGUACAAACCUGGGAUAUAAAUCUGGUACAUUCCUUUUUCGCCAUCGCUAGCGUCAGAGAUGACACCUUCCCACCAACCAUCACUCCACCACGUGUCAGCUGGAUCUCCAACUCCGAAGGUUGGGCUCGGCUCGUUGCUAGGAUAGGCAGGUCUGACAGUUGGGCGGCCAGCAUGCCGCAUCCCCAGCUUAUCAGCCUUAGCCACUCUAUUUGUAGGAAUCCAUUCCUACAGUUAUCACAAUGUAAAACACACACUCAAAACAUAAUACAAGAAUGGCCAUAACCAUCCACAGAAAGUUCACACAUAUUGGUUGAUUCGUCUUGAUAUCAUGCAAAGACUUGAAAGUUUCAUUUCCUUUUCAGGACAUACUCUGACAACUAAAAGAUAUUAUGGUGAUGCAUACCUCAAGGUUGGUGCAACUAUCCUCAUCCUUAAUAUCUUCGUACAGAAUUUUUAUCUGUCUCCUCGAGAUCUCUAAGACUGUGCAUCUGAACCAGCAACCACGAAUACCACUGUCUUGACAAAGAAACUCCACCUUUUCAUUCUGUUGAAAAAGACUUUGCCGAAAUUGACCAUCGACAUGCUUGAGAAAAUUUGUCUCUCUGCUCAGCAGACCAUAUUUCUUGUAUGACAGAUCAUAUGCUGAUUUAUGAUCGUCUCUGGAACUUCUAUGCCUUUUAGAUCCCACUUUUGCAUCAUCCUCAGAGCUAAACUCGUCUUCCUCAAAAAAAUCCGGGCUAAAGCACGAGAAUAUUGCUUGAUCAUAAUAUCCCCGUAAUUUACUUAGUUUGAAUUGCUUUACUCUAUUACCCUUGAACUGUCUGAAACAGAAAUGAAGUCCACCUAACAAAUCGUGUGGAAACACUUCCAGGCAUUUCUCAUAGUGUUCACGAGUUAAUACUAUGGCCGGGCCAUCAACACAUUCAGCGCUGAUGACCUGAACAUAAGGAGUAAUAAAGACUUCUUUGGGAUCAGGAUUACGUAAAGACACUAACUCCCUUCACUUCCUUAUUAUGAUGGAACCAUCUCACUUUGACCUUUUUCUGGCACUUCCUGUCUUCAUACAUAUCCUCCAAAUAUGCAAUAUAGCGAUUCUCUUUCUCAGCCAUGACAAAGACAAAUGAUUGAACCUGAAUAGCAGGAAAAUGUAAGGCACAUAAUUGAUGGACAUGGUGGUGAAAAAUAGUUAAAGAAGAGCUACUAUGAACAUUUUGUCAUUCUACCAACAUAAUAUUCUUUCAAGAUGGAAAAAUAAGAUGCAUCUAAAUUAAAACAAAUUCUCUUGCGUCACAUAAAACGAAUUGCUUCUAGGAGAUCUCUCUCGGAAGUUAACUCAAUCAGGUGGUUUACAAACCCUCCACAGGCAAUAUAAUAUAGAUGAAUGUUUAUAGAGUCAAGCUUGAGAAACUCUAUAUAGAUGGAUUUAAAGAGACUUACAGAUAUUGAAAUCCCAUUCCUGCAAAAUUCUGGGUAAUGCUUCAAUUGUUUACCACAAGCCCAAGCUGAACCUGACCAUGAAAUGUCUAAAUGAUGGCCUUUCAAAUUCCUAGCUAUGCGACCCUGACAUAAAUUAUAGUACAAUUUGUGAAUAAAAAGACGCAGAUGAAUAGAAACACAAACAUGAUACAAUAAAAUACAUGGCGAGAAACAUGUACCUUAUGAGGUAGCAUCUGGGUCUGCUGAGCAUUUAAUUCAGCAGUAUGGUUACCUUUAGGCGACACUGCAAUCAAAAAGGGAAAAUGAAAAAUAUUAAGACUAAAAAGAAUUUCUAAAUGUAAUUUGAGUGCAUUUAGAAAAUAAACAAAGUAAUAUAGCCAUCAUUGUGGCAGUUAUUUCACCUGAAAGAUUAGGUCAACAACAUUAGUCCUUUACAACAGGAGUUAUUUUUAAAGUUGAGUUUCAGAAGUUCUACUGUUCUACAAAUACAAAAAAGUUCUCAUGGAGGGGUUCGGUACUAUCAAAGGAGACAUCAACGAAUUAACUUUCUCACCAAAAACCAGAAAGAUAAAUCAUAAACUUCACAGGAAUGAAUCAGAGAUUCUGUCCAAAAGGUUACCAACUAAAACCCAUAUAUGGCAGGACGCGGGGAAGAAAAAAUGGCACAACAUGAAGGAAUGUAGUCCACAAGUUACAACCAAGACAAGUUCCAUGGAAAAUAAUCAUAAUCUUCUAGCUUUAAGUAGUUAGUUAGUCGCACAGGAAAAGGCAAACAUGCCAUGAAAAUAUGCUAGGUCAAGUCCAAAGUAUUCUACUAGAAUUCAGCCUCUCUUUGCUAAAGAAAAUAAUUCAAGAACCAAAGUGAUACCUAUAAUCAAGAACAAGAACUAACCAAAGAAGACACAUGCCCAAGCAACAUCAACAUAAAAACCUUUCAAACAUGAAGAACCAUAAACAACAACCCAAUAAUCACAUCAUAUAAACAGAUAAGUUAAAGUCGUAGAAACGCAAAUAACAUAGGAGUGCCAAAAAGACCAGACUUAUAAGGAAACAUACUCGCACGAUCUCCUUGCCUAUGUUGUUUGGAUAACAUGGAAGUAAGCCAGUUCACCACCUCCCUCCUCGACCUCCAUCUGAACCCGGCCUGCACGGAGUUAUCGGCCCCAUGGGCGUUAAAGAACUCAUCAGAUACAACAUAGAACAUGUGCCUAACACUCCUUUCAGUGCCCACAACAGCAAGAAUUGAUUCCCCUGAAUUAUCUUUCAGAAAAUAGUGAACCACGCGGUUGCCCCUCUCUUUUGACACAUAUUGCUCCUUCCACUCCACAAAAUAUCGCUCAUUGACAGCCAUGGCUGAUAAUCAAGCAACCACUUUUCACAACUACUCCUCAGCUGCCAUCAGAAUCCAGCUCAAACCCUAAUUUGAAAAACUAAACUCUUCCCCACAACAAAAUUGUGAGAAAAACUACCUCACCGUCUCACCAUAAGAUAUAGAUUAGCUGAUAACAGACACAAUGCCGGAAAAAAUCAACAAAAGCCCCAAAUGUUAGAAAGAAAUCAAAGCCAAGGUUGACCAGCGUAGAACGCCUCAAGACCCAAAACCAGAGAUAUAAAGCUAUCUCUAAGCCACAAGACACUCAGGAAAUCUUGAAGCCAUGAAGAUCUGCUGAACCAAGUCAGAUAAAAAAGGGGUUAGUGGGUCAGAAGCCUGAGAACCCCAUAAGACAUACAGCACAUAAAUGGGAAUCUAACUAUGAGCAUGAAAUUAACUCUGGAAAGGUGGAAAUUGGGCCUUGAGCAGGAUUUUCAGUUGAAACAAACUGGAGAAGACGGAACUGCGGAAAUUGGAAAAUAAAGAAAUUAAAACUGGAGUCUUUUCGUGGUGCAGCCUUUUAACUCAAAGAGAAAAAGGUUGGCGGAGAGAAAAAUUGAUGGAAAGAGAAAGAAGAGUAGAGAAAAAAAUAGGAAAAGUAGCAGAAAUGCAAGAUAGUUAGAAGGGUGGAGGUGGGAAGGAGAAGGAAGAGAGAUGGGCUUCAAGAAUGGGAGACGGUAAGGAAGAAAAGGGUUCAACUAACUCAACAAGGUCAAGGGCAAAUAAAUGUCUCUUUUUAUUUUUUAACUUUUCGUUUAUUCAAUUUUAUACGUGCUAUUUAAGAUAUCAAAAAUUAACAUCUACUCUACUUGAUUUUUUUUAACUUGGGAGAGAGAACAAUGAGUUUGAAGCCUAAAGUGUAUCGCUUGUUCCUUUAAGAAUAUUUGCUUGAUUUAAGUAAAUAGAAUGUAUGAAAUAACUUAAUGGGGAUGCAUCUCAAUUGAUAAAUAAAUUAAUGGCUAAAUUGCCUGUAAAUUUAAAAUAUUUUAUUAAAUUUGAAAUUAAAAUUUAUUUUAUUUUUUNUUCGCCAUCGCUAGCGUCAGAGAUGACACCUUCCCACCAACCAUCACUCCACCACGUGUCAGCUGGAUCUCCAACUCCGAAGGUUGGGCUCGGCUCGUUGCUAGGAUAGGCAGGUCUGACAGUUGGGCGGCCAGCAUGCCGCAUCCCCAGCUUAUCAGCCUUAGCCACUCUAUUUGUAGGAAUCCAUUCCUACAGUUAUCACAAUGUAAAACACACACUCAAAACAUAAUACAAGAAU